CCAGAGUAGCCCUAGGCUCUCCAACCCACUGUGAACAUACCUAUCGUUCCCUCGGCGGGCUCAGCGCGCGCUGCCUCCGGGCUCCGGGCGUCCGCCGGGGACACCCAAACUCUGCUUUUAUUGUGAAUCUCUGAGGGGCGACAGCCCGAAAACAAAAUGAAUCA
rnacentral:misc_RNA from 1 species